AUUGAACGCUGGCGGCAGGCCUAACACAUGCUAGUCGAAUGGUAACAGGAAACAGCUUGCUGUUUCGCUGACGAGUGGCGGACGGGUGAGUAAUGUCUGGGAAACUGCCUGAUGGAGGGGGAUAACUACUGGAGACGGUAGCUAAUACCGCAUAACGUCGCAAGACCAAAGAGGGGGACCUUCGGGCCUCUUGCCAUCAGAUGUGCCCAGAUGGGAUUAGCUAGUAGGUGGGGUAACGGCUCACCUAGGCGACGAUCCCUAGCUGGUCUGAGAGGAUGACCAGCCACACUGGAACUGAGACACGGUCCAGACUCCUACGGGAGGCAGCAGUGGGGAAUAUUGCACAAUGGGCGCAAGCCUGAUGCAGCCAUGCCGCGUGUAUGAAGAAGGCCUUCGGGUUGUAAAGUACUUUCAGCGGGGAGGAAGGGAGUAAAGUUAAUACCUUUGCUCAUUGACGUUACCCGCAGAAGAAGCACCGGCUAACUCCGUG
rnacentral:rRNA from 1 species